ACUUUCAUAAAAAAACCCAUCAGCUGCGCUUGCUCUGUCUUCAUCUCCAUUUUUGGCUAAACCUUCUCCUUUCUUUAGCCACGGACAGAGGUUAUUCACCCCAUUUUCGUGCAAACUUUGACUGGUUUCAAUAUCUAUCAGAACCCUUUCUAUUCCUUUGGUGAUAUAACGUCCACAUUUCAAAUAUUGAAUCUGGUGACAAAGAUUUCUUCAGCUUUUUCUGUCAUGAUCUGGACUGAUCUUCAAAGGACUAUUUUGAAAUGCAAAUCGAAGACUUUUGAAAUCCCGCGCCUAACAAAAACCCUAGUUCAUCACUAUAAAUACUAGCUUUGCUACUCGUUUUAGAGGAACUUUUUUUUGGCGGCCAUUUUCUUACUCUAAUACUCACAGUUCUACCCUCCAAAAGAUUUCUCUUAAGAAAAUCUAGCUGCUUUUUGCUUCUGUUGGUUGCUUAACCAAAAUAGAGGCAUUUUACCUUUUCUCGAGUCAAGGUCGUAGACGGUGUGACCCGAGAUCUACGCCCCUGUUCGCUACACUCAAAAAAGGUCAGUAAUUCUCCUUCUCCUUUUACUUCAGUUCUGUUCUUUGUGUUUAAUAUUGUUUUUAGUUUGUUUUAUGUAGAUUCCAGAAUGUUACUUAAGGUUUAGUUGUCUAAUUUCAAUAGGAAUAUGAGUUAGUCGUAGCUUUCUUUCGAUUUUAUGUGAAUGCAUAUAUCUUUUGUGCCUUUAUUGAGCUUAUUUCUCUUUUCAUCGAACUUGCGAAGUAUGAACCAUUUACAGCUUUGUUACCCUUUGUCUGUUCAAAAAAUGAAUUAGUUUAAGAGGAUUAACUCAAAGUAUAGGCUGCUAUGAUAUGGUUUAGUUUUUUUUUUUUCAGAGCACAUAGGAGUUUAGUUUUACAUUAUAGUUUUUUUUUUCAUUUGAAUCUGCUCUUGUCUUCCAUUAAAUGGUUAGCCUUUAGCUAUUCUUUGGUAGUUUAAGAGUAUGCUUUUUUAUUCCUGAAAUUUUGAUCUGAAAUGGUUGAUAAUAGCUGCUGCUAAUGCGAUUUUCUAAAUCUAUAGUAUAAAGUUCAUUUAGGCCUUAUCAUUAAACAUAUCAUGUUGCGGGAUUAAGUUAGGUAGAGAUUAAGCUAACAAUUGAUGUAUGGCUUUCUAUUUUUAAACAUUAUCAAGUUAGUAAUUUUAUAUGAAUGCGAAUAGGUUGAAUCUUCCAUUCGAAACUCAGUCUCCAUGAUCAUUUAGUUUAGAAUUAUUAUUAGUGUAGUUAGCCAAAUUCUCAAACUUGUCUGCUUCCUGGCUUGAACAAUGUUUUCAUCUUUUCCUUUCCUAUCUGUUUUUCCUUUAAGGUAAUAUGAGAAUGAAUUUGCUUUCGGUUAAGUUGUUUUCUUUAGUAUUUUGAUAAAAUGAGGUGAUCCACUCUUCAUUUGAAGUCGUACUCUAUUUUCUGGAAAACAUUUGUUGUUGGUUAGGAUAGAGGUCGAUCUUUCCCUUUAGUAUGCGUUUAACUUAAGAUAUGAUAUGCGAAAUUACUUGGUUCUUACACAUCGAUCUUUCUUAAGUUUGCCUCUAUUUUCAGAAUGUUUGGUUUGGUUAAAUUGAUUUGCUCGGAACUCUUGUUUUGAACGUGAUUAAGUAAUAACCAGGAGAGUCUAGAUGUUGUUCAAAUGUUUAUUUUUCCGAAGAAAUGACUAAGUUUCAAUUUGCUAAGUUUUGAAGGAUCUUUCUGUUGAGGUUUUUGUCUCUAAUUUAGAUCAGCUAGCUAAGUUCAACAAUGUUUCCAUCCUAGUUAUUUUUCUUCAUUAUCCUGUUUUAAGGAAGUGUAUUUCUGAUCGUAGGGUAUUUUGACAUACCUCUUGUGCGAAUAUGCCUUCGCUUUUCAAUAUCAACCACUAUUUUGAACCGUUCCGCAUUUCUAUUCGUUUAGUAAGACAAUGAGUUCUAAGUGUUGUUUCUUAAUAAGUCAUAAUACGAAGCACCUGUUGAUAAUGUUCACUAAGAUCCAAUCGUUCAAAUAUUUUGUAAGAAUUCUCUUUAUUAACAUGGACAACAUGUUUACGAACAAGUGUAAAGCCAUAAUAUGUACAGCAUGUUUAAGGUGUAUGUUAAUUAUAUAGGAAGGGCUGUGAAUUUCUAUUAUGUAAAGGCUUCUGGUUCCCUCGAUUAAAAUCAUGGCAUAGGCUUAUAUUUAAAUAAUGUCUAUUUAAAUGAUAGUGGAAUUAAGGUUAAAGUCUAGUCUUUAAAAUGACUUAUCUAAUACUUCUUUGAACUCUCUGAAUUUUGGUUUGUGCUUGCAAUUAAGUUUUCAUGUUUGUUUCUCUUGCAAUCUGCAUCUUGUUGGACGCUGCCCGUUAUGCUAUUUAAGAAUUUAUCUUUGUCUAUUUGUUUUCCUUAUUAAAUCUGCUCAUUUCCUAAUUCUUUUCUCUUCUUUGUUUUCAUGACAUAUGGGAGCAUUCUUGAGUCUUGCAUUGAGACUCGACAUCGCUGCUAGGCUCGAGACUUGCAUUUGCAUCUCCAAUAGCACCUCUCAUCCUCUGAAAAAUGCACCUGAACAGAACGCCAAAAGAGAGGGGAGAAGUAGUGGAUAUUCUCUCCUAUCAUGUCGAUCGAGUUUUGCUUCAUGAUCUGCUAAUAUUUUUCUUAGUUCCUUUCAUGGAUAUAGCUAAAUUAAGAGGACUCCAAGUAGUUAAUCUUAUGGGGGGUAGUUUACAGAUAAUGGAUAUAUAGAGUUCUAGUAUGUUUUUUUCGGAGUAACGUAUUUAAAGGUUUAGCAAUUUAGUCUAUUCUCUUCGGUUCAAGAUUUUUAAGUUAUUCUUUUACAAGGUUUAAAAAUGGAGUUUACCUCUAAUCGUGCCUCAGAUCGGUAGCUAAAUUUGCUAAUCCAAUUACACCAAGUGAAACAUGGAGUCUAAUAACGUAUUUUUUUAAAAAAAUAAAAAAAUACUAAUAAUAAAACGAGCCUUUUGAAAACUAAAAGAUCAUCUUUGCUUUGUUUCUUUAAAUAAAAGGAGUACGUUUUUCUGUAUGUUCUCAAAAUUUAUUUCUAAAGGAUCAAAUCUCCAUUUCAAAAAAAAAAAAUCUAAACGUAUAAGACAAGAUUUCCUAUGAAGUAUAAUCACUUUGUUGUGACUUAGUUAAUCACUACUAUUGCUUGAUUAUAACGAUUAGCUAGUAUAUUAAGUACUAAAUCCAUUGUGUUAUCAAAUGCAAAAUCCUUCACUCAAUCACUGAAAUACAUAAAUAGGAAUACUUUUUUCUUACAUCGCCAAUAAAAUAUUAAUAUUUUGUCAGAAUUUCUUGUAUUAACCUAAGUUUGGUCAGUAACCGUAUUUAACGGAUUCUAAUGGAUGCCCAAGACCUUCCCAUUAGGAUAUUUAGAACCCUUACCUAGAAUUUAUGAGGUUAGUAAGACCUUUAAAAUUAGAGUUUAUUUUAGGUAUUUAUUUAGUUAAAAUAUGUGUCCUAAUUCACCGUUAAAAUAAUUAGGUGGCGACUCCUUGAAUUAAAUAUUUAGAAAUUACCAAUAUGUUGUACUUCGCGUUGACCCGGUUAAAAUGUUCUAUACAUUUAGCUGACUUUAAAGUUAGACUUGUGAAAUCUGGUCCUAAGACUUUACAAUUGAUUUCCCUAAAGCUAAAAAAAACGGUUCAAACUAUAAAGAUAACAUUAUCCUCAUCUUCAUCCUUGUCUCUGUCAUCUUCAAUUUUUCUCUUUCAUCGUCAAAUCAUUAGGAUAACAAACGAGAGGCAGCAUUUCACCUUCUUGCAUUCUCUUACCGUUUUUCCAAAAGGUUUGCCUUCAGCUGGUUAUAAGAUCUUUCUCCAAAGAGCCUAACUCCACCGCAAUGGAGGUCCACACGGUGAACACACCAAUUGCAGUGUGUCGCAAAUUGUUCAUUCCCAAAGCACUGCCUACACUUACAACUGAUUGUAAGUAACAGGUGUAAACGUAUGUAGUGUUUUUGGAGUUUCUUCAAUUGUCUUAGGUUGUGGAGACAAACCUGACACUCGUACACAUAUCAAAACAACCGCUUGGAGAUUGGAGAAUUCAUGGUGCAAGUAGAUCCUAAAAAUGUUGGCCGCGAGCUCAAGGACAAUCAGGAACAUGAUUUAUCUAGCGAGGGGGAUGAGUCUUCUAAAACAAUUAGUGAUGGAGAUGAAGCUUCUAAAAUAGUUAGUGAUGGGGAUGAGUCUUCUGAGACAUUUAGUAACGGGGAUGAAUCUGCUAAGGAGAAUGAUACAUUAUUGAUACCACAACGUGAAACCUCAAUAGUGUCACACCCCAAUCCUGGUAGGGCAUGAUGGGCACCCGACCCUUACUUAGAGUCGAGCGAACCCGCUGCUUCUAGUUAUACUUAUAAAUCUCACAGGACUCUUAAGUCAUGAAAUGAAAUUCACAAUAGGAGCUUUUCGAAAACAUUCUUUUCAUCUUUCUCGAAUCAAAUAAAAUUUGUAAUCAUAUGAAUCUGUAAAGUAAUGCAUAAUGAUACAUCGGCUUAAAUAGUCGCUUACAAGACUGGCAUACUGUAUACAUGACUCUGUCUGCAAAGUCUCUAACAUAAAACAAUAUACCAUAACACACAUACUCUAACUCGGCAACACUCCGGAAAGAAAUGGAGCUCGCCAAUCCCGCCGGAACAUCUUCUAGCAAUAUCCUCUACUCAUCUGUAUACACCUGCGUGGCAUGAAACGCAACGGCCACAAGAAGGGGCGUCAGUACGAAUAAUGUACUGAGUAUGUAAGGCAUGAGUAACAACAUAACAUAGAUAUGAAGAGUAACAAGGAAUAAGAGAGAUAACCUGUACAUCUGAAUGCCUCGUAGGGCGGAUGUCAUGCAUGCUUAACCUUUUAAAAAAAACAUUUCUAUACAUAUACAUAGUAACAUGCCCGGCCAUUAAGGCGCGGUGUCAUAUAUAAUAUCAUGCCCGGCCAUCAAGGCUCGGUGUUAUCAUUAUUAGCCUGCGUCCAGGCCUCCCGCGUCAGGGGCAAUAUCAUAACAUGCCCACUGCAGUGGUGUGCACAUCUACGUGCCUGCCUGGCCGACUAUAGCGCGGCGCGGUGUGAGAAAAUACAUACAUAUAUAUAAAUAAAGCAUGCAUAAGAGCCCAAUCAAAAGCCACAACUGUAUCGGAAUGACGUAAGGUCGGUAGCCUCCGAUUAUAUUAUGGAAUACUCAUCGUCGCUUUGUCUCACCUUGAAGGAACAAUUAUUUUAAGGUGAGACUAUCGAUGAAGAAUAGAAUUAAGAGAAAACAUAGAAUAGGAUCGUAAAUGUCAUAAGGCAUCAAGCCAUGUAUUUUUUUUUGGAAUCUUAAAAGAAAUUAGUCAUCAUCCAUGAAUGAAUUGAGAAAUCAGUAAAUAACUCAACAUUCUUAUAUCGUCGUUGGAAUCAUAAACUUAGAACCUUUAAGCAUGGAGUCAUUCUCAUCAUAGUCAUCAUAAUGAUAUUCUCACUUUUGACAUCAUCGUUGUCAUUGAAAAACAUAUCCUUCGUCGUUAUCAUAAGAACUCACAUAAUCACAACCUUUGGUUUUGGAAAAUAGGGGCACCUUGGAAAACAAUUAUGGAAUAUCAAGAAGGAAAUUAUGCUUUGGAAUCUGGGACAUUUAGCUUUUGAUGACAAGGAAAAAUACGGAAACAUUUAUGAAAUCAUAACCUAAAGAUCAUGUCUUUGAAAGAAAGGGGCGAGCCUUAACAUACCUGGAAGAUGAUUCUCUACUUCCAACUUACUUCCCGUCUUGCAACUCUCUUAAGAAUUAUUCGUGGCCUCGUAAUCUACAUAUAUAACCAUUCAUAAUAUCAUUAGGAUCAUCGUCAUACGCUCGUCUUAAACACUUAAUGAAAGUCCUUUUAGAUUCAGUCGAAAUUCGGGCAGCAUUUCCCCUGUUUAUGUGCCUAGCCCGAAAUUCCAAUUCAACAACCAACAACAUCGACAACAAUACCAAUAGUAGUAACAUCAUUUCCAACACCAACAUAUGCCAUACAACAGCCCACACACUGUUGUCCAAAUUUCUCAACCAACCAACUUGGGGUACGACUAAUUAAUAACUUUAUUUCCGUAAAGAAGCCGAAAUUAAUACUAACAACAUCAAUAUCAACAUCCUUAACAUUCUACAAGAUGAACAUAUACAUAUCUUAUCCAAAAUUCUCUUCAAGCCUCGAUCCAUAAUUCAACAACAUCAACACAACAAACUAUAAUUCUAUUCUUGCAAUUAUUCCUUAAUCAAACUUGAUAAAGAGAGAGAUUUGAAGAUUCAUACCUUGUUUUUAUGAAAGUAGCAAAAUCUUCAACAUUUUCUUGUUCCCAUGCUCCUCUAACUCCAAACAAAAUUAUAUUCGUGACUAUGCGUUGCCCGGACUUCGAUUAGUACUUCGUAGCUUGAAAUUUUGCUCAAAAUCUUCACUUUUAUGUGAGAUUAAGAGUCAUUUUUAAUGGCUGAAUUUUCUGGAACAUUGUAGCAUUUUUGAUGAUGAAAAUGGGGGGUUUUAUCCCUUUUAUAGUGGGUGGGCCGACGUACUGUUUCUGCGUUGACAGCUCAGUUUGUAACGUCUAUAAUUCUCUACUCCGAUGUCCUAUCGAUGAGAGGUUUGUUGCAUUAGAACCUAGACUCGACGGACUUCAUUUGUGACUUUUGAAACACCUUAAAAAUCCAUAUAUACUGGGAGAUAUGCGCCUCCAAAGUUGACUAAAAAUCCUUCUAGCAUUUCUCAAAUUUUCGUCGAAUUUAUUUUCUUCAAUUUGCUCGAUCUCGAAAUAUUCCGAAACUCUCCAUACAUGAUAUUUAUCACUUAUUAUACUAAUAAUGGUCAUGUUCUCGUGUUUCAAAAUACUCUUUCCCGAUUACGACUUACGAGAUCGUAAUUCACCCUUUUUCUUCGUUUUUAGAUACUCUCCCUGGCUUGUGCUUUUCAAAACAUCAUGGGACGUCUCCGACACUCCAUUACUACGGUGAGGUAAAUUUCAUACUCAUGCUCUGAAAACGCGGGGUAUAACAAAUAGACCUCUUCCAAUAUAGUUUGUGUAAGGAAUUGGACGACGAGGACCACUUUGAUGGACUUGUGAGCAUUUUAUCAAAGUGGGAUGUUGUUAAAAAUAUACAAAUUACUUGGAGAAGGAAAAAGUGUACAACCAAUUUAUGAAUAGUUGUUUUGGCUGCUUAUUAAAGUUAACCUAGAGAAUUGGAACAAAAAUUUUUGUGGCCAGAUCGUACACUAUCUUCUAUAACGACGUGUUGUAAGCUCAAACAAAAAGGAGGUUUGGUUCAUUAUGGUAAGCCAAUUCGAUUUGGUAUGAAGGAGUUUUCUAUGAUUAUUCGGACUGAAUUAUGAAAAAAUUCCCACCGGUAAGGCUUUAUAUGAUGAAGAGAAGGCAAAAGAUUUUUUAGAUCUGGUGUUGAACAAAAAUAGUAGUCUAACGGGAAAUGAUUUAAAGGAAAUAUUAAAGAGUGACAGAUUUGAUGCGCAAACAAAGUUGAACAUCGCUAUGGUGUGGUGUUGUUGAGUCUUUUUUAUGGGUUGGUGAUCAAAAGCGAACUGUUGAUGUAAAGAAUAUGAAAAUGGUGACAAACUUGAAUUACUUUAAUGCAUAUCUUUGGGGUAGGCGUUCUUUUGAGAUGACAGUUGAGUUCCUCAUAAAUGUUAACUUGAAGAAAAAGUCUGCAGAAUGGAAGGAAAAUAAUUCCACAUCUAAAGGUUACAGCUUGCAAGGAUUCUCUUGGGCUUUUCUGGUAACUUAUAAAUAAUUUAUGUUGAGAUAGAUAUUGAAUUGGUCAUGACAAUUACCAAGCAUACAGAUAGACAUCAUAAAGGAGAGGAACAUGACAAUUUCAACACAAAUAGCAGAGGUUUCACAGACACUCAGAGGAUUGACAACAAAAAAUAGUACCUCCAAGACCCUAAUAGCGCAUGCAAGAAAUUUCUCUAAUCGGGGAACAAAUCAGAUAUCAAGGCUUCAUAGACCACCGAUUUUGAAGUCAAUCUAGAAGAAAUCGAAAGGAACAACUCUUUACUUGAAAUGAAACAAUCUAGUUUUUCUGAGAAUCAACUUCUUUGGCUAUGGCUUCGCUGCACCUGGUCAGAGCUUUAUGGUGCAAGAAAUGCUCCAAGGGGAGAAAAUCAGACUUGGAUUUCCGGUGAUGAUCUCUGCUCCGACGAAGAUGAAAAGUUCUUGAAGUUUUCUAUUUUACUUUUGAGUUUGGUGUUGAACUGACCUUGUGCAAUAUUUUCUUUUUCUUUUUUGUUUUUCAUUAUUAUAUAUUAAUAAAAUAUCCCUCAACUAAGUUUU